UGGUGGUAGUGGCGGCGGGGUGGGGAUGAUUGAAGCGGUGGCGGGGCAGGGAUGGUGAUAGUGGCGGCGGGGUGGUGAGUGUGGCAGCGACCAUGGUGGCGAUAGCCACGGUGCUACUGCUGUCGGUGGCCACGCUGAUGGCGAUCUUGUGGAUGGGGAAGUUCUGGUGGCGGCGGCAGCAGUGGUGGCGACGGCUGCAGUGGUGGCGCUGGUGGCGGUGGGGGUUGUGGUGGUUGCGGGUUCGGCCAGUGCGGCACCGGCAACUGCGGGUUCAGCGCCGAUAUAUGUGACGGCGGCGAAGGGAGCGUCCGGGGCGGCGGCGUUGGCCGUGUCAGGCGCUGCCGGGGAGCCGCCGUAAUGGCGGCCGUGGCGAUUGAGUAAGGAAGGGAGCGGUGGAGAUGGCGGUAGUGGCGGCAGUCGGGGUCUGGGAGAAGCCGAAGGUGGGGCGAUGGCGUCGUUGGUGGCGGCGAUAAAGCUGGUGGUGGAGAAUGGAGAUGAAGUUGGCGACUGUGGCGAAGACGGCGGCAGGCGAGGAGGUCUGUGGGCGCUGGGGCGACCAAGGCAGCGGCGGCGUCGGUGGGAGGAGCUGUCUGGAUGGCGGCGGUGGCAGCGAUUUCCGAGAGACCACGAAGCUCUCCAACAGCACAGUGAAUAAAUGCAACAUGAAUAUAUAUUGAUAUAGUGAAGGCACCCUUCCUUGGAGGUCAUUCUGAUAUUUUUAACUAGCUGACGUGCCUGGAGAGGCCUAUUCCCAGCAUUAUUGCUAUGGAUUGGCCACUUGAACCUUGUCAGCCUACUCUCUAUAAAACCUAGGCUUUUGAGCCAGACAGGGUGAGGGCAAGAGAAGAACAGAAGAGAGUGGAAGGAAGAUGAAACAUGAAAGAAAGAAAAGAGCGAGGAAGGGAGAUAAAGUGGGCUGUAUCCCUCAUGGUUGUGUUUCCCUGUUGUUGGUAUGAGAAAGGCUGAGCCAUUGGGACAGACCUGAGACCACCAGUGCCACUGUGUUAUCCAGACUGGGGGAAAAUAAGCCAGUGCCUCUACCUGAGGCUGACUGAGUGGCUGGGGCAUGCCAGAGAUGCCAGAACUUCUUCCUACCCACAGACAACGAGGGACUGCACCCACACACACACACACACACAGGCAAAGACUGGCUGCCAGAUAUACCUGAGACCACUGGCAUUGCUUUUCCGAGCCUGAAGCUGAGUAGCCAGGAAGAAAUCUGUACCAUUAGCCACUCAUCUCAAAGCAAGGCCGAACUGCAGGAAGAUGCCUGAGAUUGCCACACCUCCUUUGAAGAAGAAAAUGAGGAAGGUAGAUGAAGGUAGGGGCUGCCCCCCUCUGAGUUGUGUUCCCCUGUUACAGAUAUGAGGAAUACUGGGACACACCUGAGACCACCAGCACCACUGUGUGGUCAAGACUCGUCUGCUGGGAAAAGAAGCCCUAGACACCUAGUGCCUCUACCUGAGGCUACGUCUAAGUGGCUGGAGCAAGCCGGAAAUGCCAGAACCUUGACCACAGACAAUGAGAGACUUUGCCCGUGUACAUAUAGGCAAAGACUGGCCGCCAGGAUAAUCCAGAGGCUGCCAGCAUUGCCUCCCCAAGCCUGAAGCUGAGGUGCAAGGAAGACACCUGUACUGCAGCCACUCCUCUUGAGGCAAGGGCAAGCUGCACAACAAAGCUUGAGAUUGCCACAUCUCCUCCUUUGAAGACCAGGACUAACCUGCUGGAAUGAGCCCAAGAUCGCCAAUGUCAUUUCACAGGUGCUCUGAAGACGAGGAACAGUGUGGUCCUGGACUUUUUUACCACUGUAAAUAGAAUAAACCAUGUGA